ACUGCGUUUGUAAGAUUAGACAGUGGGAGGGGUAGUUUUGAAUAAGCAAAACUCACACCCCUGGGAAAUACACUCAACAUUUUCAGCUUGGCUGCGUGAAGCCGGUGACAAGAAAGGCUACGGCAAACUGCAGAUGACAGCUGAUCUUUAGUCUACUUGCGAGAUGCACGGUAGCCUACCGCGUGUAACUUAUGUAACUAUUCUAAAGUAGUUUUCCUGUGUCGGUGAUAUCGGUAACCGCAGUUAUCUUGGCCAGUAUGGACAGUGAAGCAAGGGCGAAUGGGGAGGAUAUCACUCUCAACAAACUAGAUGACAUACAAGCAAACCUCGACCGUCUUGACCCCUCUGGAAAGGUGUACUGAAUGAUUAACAUGAAUCACUAUGCCACUAAGAAGAGUGUAGCUCAGAGUAUGCUUGAUGUGGCUCUACUCAUGGCUAACUCAUCCCAGCUAAAAACUGUUCUAUACAUGGAGUCACAGUACAGAUUCUACAAACCUCUCAUAGUACUGCUGUCCAUGUCUAUUACGCUACAGGUUGUCGUGGGACUACUGCUGGUCUUUAUAGUCCUCAUCAACAUCUUCAUCACUGCGCUAGGCUUUGAGGGUGCUGUAUAGGACUUCCAGACCCCAAUCUUCCUUCUGACCACUGAACAGAACCAGACCGGAGCCUCUAGACCACAACCUCAGAUCAUCCUCAGACAACUGACAGGUUGUAGAGCACAAGCUUAGCACAACCUGGCCUCAAUUUAACCGGAGGCUUGUACAACCUGAACACAACAUCAGCAGAAACCUGCGAACCUAACCCAACCUACAGUACUGUCAGUUCUCUCUACAGUGACAGGGCAGUGCAGGUGCCAGAGGUGUGUCACCCUCAAAAUUCUACAGCUGCACCAUCGAGAGCAUCUGACCGGGUUGCAUCCCCGCCUGG